AUGCUUACCUGAUGUGGGUGAUUCCAUGAUCAUGAAGGUGGUUUCCCCAGCAUGAGACUUAUCCAUUGCACUGCAGAUGGACUGACCCCUGGGAUUUCCCCAAAUGUGGGAAACUCAACUGCAUAAUUUGUGGUAGUAGGGAACUGUGCUAGUGCACUCCCCUU